rnacentral:rRNA from 1 species
GACGAACGCUGGCGGCGUGCCUAAUACAUGCAAGUCGAACGCUGAAGGAGGAGCUUGCUUCUCUGGAUGAGUUGCGAACGGGUGAGUAACGCGUAGGUAACCUGCCUGGUAGCGGGGGAUAACUAUUGGAAACGAUAGCUAAUACCGCAUAAGAGUAGAUGUUGCAUGACAUUUGCUUAAAAGGUGCAAUUGCAUCACUACCAGAUGGACCUGCGUUGUAUUAGCUAGUUGGUGGGGUAACGGCCCACCAAGGCGACGAUACAUAGCCGGCCUGGGAGGGGUGUUGGCCACACUGGGAAUGGGACAAGGCCCAGACUUCUACGGGAGGCAGCAGUAGGGAAUCUUCGGCAAUGGACGGAAGUCUGACCGAGCAACGCCGCGUGAGUGAAGAAGGUUUUCGGAUCGUAAAGCUCUGUUGUAAGGGAAGAACGAGUGUGGGAGUGGAAAGUUCACACUGUGACGGUAUCUUACCAGAAAGGGACGGCUAACUACGUG